GAUGAAGAACGCAGCGAAAUGCGAUAAGUAAUGCGAAUUGCAGAAUUUCCGUGAGUCAUCGAAUCUUUGAACGCACAUUGCGCCCCCUGGUAUUCCGGGGGGCAUGCCUGUCCGAGCGUCAUUGCUGCCCUCAAGCACGGCUUGUGUGUUGGGCCCCGUCCUCCGAUCCCGGGGGACGGGCCCGAAAGGCAGCGGCGGCACCGCGUCCGGUCCUCGAGCGUAUGGGGCUUUGUCACCCGCUCUGUAGGCCCGGCCGGCGCUUGCCGAUCAACCCAAAUUUUUAUCCAGGUUGACCUCGGAUCAGGUAGGGAUACCCGCUGAACUUAAGCAUAUCAAUAAGCGGAGGA
rnacentral:misc_RNA from 1 species